ensembl:rRNA 5S_rRNA 5S ribosomal RNA
GUCUACGGCCAUACCACCCUGAACACGCCCGAUUUCGUCUGAUCUCGGAAGCUAAGCAGGGUCUGGCCUGGUUUGUACUUGGAUGGGAGAAAGUUAACUCACCAUGUAAGAACAAUACUUUCUGGCUU